rnacentral:rRNA from 1 species
GAUGAACGCUGGCGGCGUGCUUAACACAUGCAAGUCGAACGGAAAGGCUCCUGCUUGCAGGGGUACUCGAGUGGCGAACGGGUGAGUAACACGUGGGUGAUCUGCCCAGCACUUCGGGAUAAGCCUGGGCAACUGGGUCUAAUACCGGAUAGGACGAUGGGUUGGAUGCCAUUGUGGAAAGUUUUUUCGGUGUGGGAUGAGCUCGCGGCCUAUCAGCUUGUUGGUGGGGUAAUGGCCUACCAAGGCCUCGACGGGUAGCCGGCCUGAGUGGGUGUACGGCCACAUUGGGACUGAGAUGCGGCCCAGACUCCUACGGGAGGCAGCAGUGGGGAAUAUUGCACAAUGGGGGCAAGCCUGAUGCAGCGACGCCGCGUGGGGGAUGACGGCCUUCGGGUUGUAAACUCCUUUCGCGAGGAACGAAGCGGAAGUGACGGUACCUGGAGAAGAAGCACCGGCGAACUACGUG